GAAAGUUAGAGGUUGGAUGGCGAUCAGAUACCGCCCUAGUUAUAACCAUAAACGAUGCCAACCAGCGAUCCGCCUGAGUUACUCAAAUGACUCGGCGGGCAGCUUCCUGGAAACCAAAGUAUUUGGGU
rnacentral:rRNA from 1 species